rnacentral:rRNA from 1 species
AGGACGAACGCUGGCGGCGUGCUUAACACAUGCAAGUCGAGCGGUGAUCCUCCUUCGGGAGGUGAUCAGCGGCGAACGGGUGAGUAACACGUGGGCAACCUGCCCCUCACACUGGGAUAACCUCGGGAAACCGGGGCUAAUACCGGAUACGACCUCGAGCGGCAUCUCUUGAGGUGGAAAGCUCCGACGGUGAGGGAUGGGCCCGCGGCCUAUCAGCUUGUUGGUGGGGUAAUGGCCUACCAAGGCGACGACGGGUAGCCGGCCUGAGAGGACGAUCAGCCACACUGGGACUGAGACACGGCCCAGACUCCUACGGGAGGCAGCAGUGGGGAAUCUUGCGCAAUGGGCGAAAGCCUGACGCAGCAACGCCGCGUGUGGGACGAAGGCCUUCUGGGUUGUAAACCACUUUCAGCAGGGACGAUUGUGACGGUACCUGCAGAAGAAGCCCCGGCAACUACGUGCCAGCAGCCGC